rnacentral:rRNA from 1 species
UACCUACGGGAGGCAGCAGUGGGGAAUAUUGCACAAUGGGGGAAACCCUGAUGCAGCGACGCCGCGUGAGUGAAGAAGUAAUUCGUUACGUAAAGCUCUAUCAGCAGGGAAGAGAAUGACGGUACCUGAGUAAGAAGCCCCGGCUAACUACGUGCCAGCAGCCGCGGUAAUACGUAGGGGGCAAGCGUUAUCCGGAUUUACUGGGUGUAAAGGGAGCGUAGACGGUCCUGCAAGCCAGAUGUGAAAGCCCGGGUCUCAACCCCGGGACUGCAUUUGGAACUGUAAGGCUAGAGUGUCGGAGAGGG